UUUUUCCAUCAAAUCUAAGGGUGUCAAUCACUUUUGACACUGCACAUUUAACACUGGUGAUUUUAUGGUGAAUGCUCAUCCAUUUUUUUUGUGUUUUGUUGGAUUAAUUUUAGCAAAGUAUUUUUGGGCUGGUAAAGAAUCUGAGUGGCUGGUGGACCGAAAAGUUAAUUUUAGGCCCUGAUCACAACACCUACGCCAUAAUGAAAAUGCAUCCAUUUGCAAAUAUACAUCAGGGUUAGGCUCCAACAACAAAACCUAUCCAUAUCAGAACCUAUGAUGAUUAUUCAGUGGCCCUGCAGAGUCCCUUUCACUGGUUUGCGGACACCAACAAAGUGUACAGUAGUUUGUCAGCUGUGGGUAAUCGGGACUGACACCUUCUUGAGCAAAUCACUGAAUCUCGUUACAACUCUGAGUACUACUUACUCCCUUGCACGUCGCGACUGGCAGGCUAUACUUUAUUAACUUGUAAACAUCGGCUACAUGAAUUCGGGCAUGUGGUUCAUGUGAGCGCGAGGCUCCUCGAACGGCAAGACCCUCCUUCAUUCUCGCACCGCAGCCCAGUCUGCCCAACCGAGCAGACUGAAGAACAAAUUCCUUUUCUCUCAAUCCAACGGAUUUAUAUUCUAUACAUUCGCGUUCAGUAGGCGACGAGCGCUCACCAUCCUCUGCUGUACGGGACUGUGGACAAUGUUUCUCUUGCAGUAUAGAGGACUGAACCCGCUAUCCUUUGACCCGUCCUCCAACAACGAGCCCCUGCAGUUCAGCAACUCCAACGGGCCACUGGUGUCAGACUGUCCUCUGGAAAACGGAGCUGAGAACCGCAAUAAGAGGAAGAGACCCAGCCUGCCUCCAGGUACAAUAAAAAACUAUGAUAAUUGACAAGGUGUACAUCAGUGGCACCAAUGCAUUUUAUACUGUGAGCCUGUGACUGGGGGAGUAAUUUAAAGUGAGGUAGAAACUUGGUAGAGGCGCUUUCAUGUUUUCCAUCCUGAGGGGUUUAUUGCCAGUUUGUCUGGUGGAGGUCAGGGCCGUCUGUCUAAAGCUACAGGACUCUGCGCUGCUAUGAUUGCAGCUCUCACACCUUAGCCUGUUAGGGCUAGGGGGCAGUAUUGACACGGCUGGAUAAAAAACGUACCCGAUUUAAUCUGGUUACUACUCCUGCCCAGUAACUAGAAUAUGCAUAUAAUUAUUGGCUUUGGAUAGAAAACACUCCAAAGUUUCUAAAACUGUUUGAAUGGUGUCUGUGGGUAUAACAGAACUCAAAUCGCAGGUCAAAACCUGAGAGAUUCCUUUACAGGAAGUGGCCUGUCUGACCAUUUAUUGUCUUUCUUUGACAUCUCAUUACAAAACUUAGGAUCUCUGCGGUAACGUGACACUUCCCACGGCUCCAAUAGGCUCUCAGAGCCCGGGAAAAACCUGAAUGUCGUCAUUCCAGCCCCAGGCUGAAACACAUUAUCGCCUUUCUCAAGUGGCCGAUCAAGGGACAGUGGGCUUAGGCGCGUGCACUGGCCACCCCUGUCUUUCUGUUUUUUCCUCUGUUUACCGAAAAGGAGAUUCCCGGUCGGAAUAUUAUCGCUUUUUUACGAGAUAAAUUGCAUAAAUUGAUUUUAAACAGCGGUUGACAUGCUUCAAAGUACGGUAAUGGAAUAUUUAGAAAUGUUUUGUCACGAAUUGCGCCAUGCUCGUAACCCUGAUUUACCAUUUCGGAUAGUGUCUGGAACGCACGAACAAAAUGCCGCUAUUUGGAUAUAACGAUGGAUUAUUUGGGACCAAACCAACAUUUGUUAUUGAAGUAGAAGUCCUGGGAGUGCAUUCUGACGAAGACAACAAAGGUAAUAACAUUUUUGUUAUAGUAAAUCUGAUUUUGGUGAAGGCUAAACUUGCCGGGUGUGUAAAUGGCUAGCCCGUGAUGGCUGGGCUAUGUACUUAGAAUAUUGCAAAAUGUGCUUUCACCAAAAAGCUAUUUUAAAAUCGGACAUAUCGAGUGCAUAGAGGAGUUCUGUAUCUAUAAUUCUUAAAAUAAUUGUUACGCUUUUUGUGAAAGUUUAUCGUGAGUAAUUUAGUAAAUUCCCCGGAAGUUUGCUAGUUCUGAACGUCACAUGCUAAUGUAAAAAGCUGUUUUUUGAUAUAAAUAUGAACUUGAUUGAACAAAACAUGCAUGUAUUGUAUAACAUAAUGUCCUAGGGUUGUCAUCUGAUGAAGAUGAUCAAAGGUUAGUGCUGCAUUUAGCUGUCUUCUGGGUUUUUGUGACAUUAUAUGCUAGCUUGAAAAAUGGGUGUCUGAUUAUUUCUGGCUGGGUACUCUGCUGACAUAAUCUAAUGUUUUGCUUUCGUUGUAAAGCCUUUUUGAAAUCGGACAGUGUGGUUAGAUUAACGAGAGUCUUGUCUUUAAAUAGCUGUAAAAUAGUCAUAUGUUUGAGAAAUUGAAGUAAUAGGAUUUUUAAGGUAUUUGAAAAUUGCGCCACUGGAUUACACUGGCUGUUACGUAGGUGGGACGAUUACGUCCCGCCUAGCCCAUAGAGGUUAACCUGUUAGGGCUAGGGGGCAGUAUUGACACGGCCUGAUAAAAAACGUACCCGAUUUAAUCUGGUUACUACUCCUGCCCAGUAACUAGAAUAUGCAUAUAAUUAUUGGCUUUGGAUAGAAAACAAAGCCAAUAAAACUGUUUGAAUGUCUGUGAGUAUAACAGAACUCAUAUGGCAGGCAAAAACCUGAGAAGAUUCUGAACAGGAAGUGGCCUGUCUGACAAGUUGUUGUUCAUCUUGGCUCUUUUUAUUGAAGACUGAGGAUCUUUGCUGUAACGUGACACUUCCUACGGCUCCCAUAGCCUCUCAGAGCCCGGGAAAAAGCUGAAUGAUAUCGAGGCAGCCCCAGGCUGAAACACAUUAUCGUGUUUGGAUUGUGGCUGGUCAGAGUACUCUGAGACUCAGGCUCGUGCACGAGGGCACGAAAUGGUUUUAUUUUCUCUCUCUUUGUACGUAUACACGCUUUCCCGGUUGGAAUACUAUCAUUUUUUUAUGAGAAAAUGGCAUAAAAAUUGAUUUUAAACAGCGGUUGACAUGCUUCGAAGUACGGUAAUGGAAUAUUUAUUUAAAAAAAAUUGCGCCAUGCUCGUCACCCUUAUUUACCCUUUCGGAUAGUGUCUUGAACGCACGAACAAAACGCCGCUAUUUGGAUAUAACAAUGGAUUAUUUGGGACCAAACCAACAUUUUUUAUUGAAGUAGAAGUCCUGGGAGUGCAUUCUGACGAAGAACAGCAAAGGUAAUAACAUUUUUCUUAUAGUAAAUCUGACUUUGGUGAGUGCUAAACUUGCUGGGUGUCUAAAUAGCUAGCCCUGUGAUGCCGGGCUAUCUACUUAGAAUAUUGCAAAAUGUGCUUUCACCGGACAUAUCGAAUGCAUAGAGGAGUUCUGUAUCUAUAAUUCUUAACCUCUAUGGGACCGGCGGGACGAAUUCGUCCCACCUACGUAACAGCCACUGCCAGCCUGUGGCGCGAUUUUCAAAAUCUUCAAAAUCAUAU
rnacentral:lncRNA from 8 species